GCCAGCGUAGCUCAGUUGGCAGAGCAGCUGAUUUGUAAUCAGCCGGUCGUGGGUUAGAAUCCCUCCGCUGGCU
rnacentral:tRNA from 1 species